GCAGUCGCCGCGGUAAUACAGAGGGUGCGAGCGUUAAUCGGAUUUACUGGGCGUAAAGCGUGCGUAGGCGGCUUUUUAAGUCGGAUGUGAAAUCCCUGAGCUUAACUUAGGAAUUGCAUUCGAUACUGGGAAGCUAGAGUAUGGGAGAGGAUGGUAGAAUUCCAGGUGUAGCGGUGAAAUGCGUAGAGAUCUGGAGGAAUACCGAUGGCGAAGGCAGCCAUCUGGCCUAAUACUGACGCUGAGGUACGAAAGCAUGGGGAGCAAACAGGAUUAGAUACCCGUGUAGUCCCUGUCUCUUAUAC
rnacentral:rRNA from 1 species